AAGUGACAACUUGAACGCGGGACUUUGAGGGGUCCGGAGCGGAGAGCAGUGUGCACCCUGAGACACGGUCUCUGCCCCCCCCCCCCCGCCCUCCGGGUGGCCGCUUGGCACCGCGCCCGGGCGUUCCGCACCAGAACCGACACAGCCCGAACCCUUCACCGAGGGCACCGUGAACUGCAGUGGCUACUUUCACUGUUGUGCUUCCUCCAGGUCCAUGAAGCCCUCGAGUGUGACCCCUAACCCCAGAGCGAAGUGUAGUGGGGAGGUGGUCUCCGAACCCAAGCUUCCACGUGCCCGAAACGAGGGUGGUAGUGUCAGAGAAAGAAAAGUUGUUAAGCUUGAUUCUGUGGAAGGAAAUUUAAAAUAACAAAAAGAUGAAAAGAAACAGGAAUCUGAAGGACCAUAGAAUAAAUUCCUUUCUAUAUCAUCAAGGAAGAUCCUACUGCCAUUCUCAAGUGACCAGUACCAGUUUACAGUGUUCUACUGUAGCAUAAAAUCAUUAAAGAGCUGUAUGUUUGUUGGUUUUAUUCUCAAUAUGAUCAGUUAGAAUAGAAUGACCUGAGCAGUUUACUGUAAUUGGUAUUCUGAUCAUGCCACCUCAAAUUUCAAAACCUCAAGUAUCUCAAGAAAGAAUUCUGAUUGUCUAACCUUAGACUCUGUCAGUUCCUUUAAUGAUGAUGGCUAACUUAGCUGAAGGCUAAUUGACAUUAAUUUAGCUCACUUGUUUUCUUCCUAGAUUCCCAUGAGACUUUUCAGUCUUUUGAUUUAUUGACUUACUAAAUAAUUUUAAGACACAUGUGUGCUUAAAUCUAGUUUGUUAGCUAAGAUAAGGAAAAUCUAUAAUACAG
ensembl:lncRNA